UACGUAGGGUGCGAGCGUUAAUCGGAAUUACUGGGCGUAAAGCGUGCGCAGGCGGUUUUUUAAGGCAGAUGUGAAAUCCCCGGGCUUAACCUGGGAAUGGCAUUUGGGACUGCAAGGCUUGAGUGCGGCAGAGGAGACUGGAAUUCCUGGUGUAGCAGUGAAAUGCGUAGAUAUCAGGAGGAACACCGAUGGCGAAGGCAGGUCUCUGGGCUGACACUGACGCUCAGGCGCGAAAGCGUGGGGAGCAAACAGG
rnacentral:rRNA from 1 species